CAAAUGGCUCAUCCUUCUGGAACCAGCUAGGCAGCCUUUCUUUGUUCACAAGCACCUGAUUCUAUUAUUUUCCAGGAACAAAGAACUAAACUUGAUGGCCAAGUUUGCUCCUCAGAUUAUUAACAUCCUAGUAACUGUUUACUUUGCAUGCCUAGUACUCACCCAGAAUGCAAGACUGGCCCAGAACAGCUGGGACUUCAUUUUUUAAAAUCUAUGUGCCCUUGGCUUCCACUUCCAGAGCUCUCUGGGGGAAAUGGCUGAGCUUUUGGAAGUCUAUACUAGAUGACAGGGCAUGAAGUUUGUGUGAGGGACUAUUUUGUCAAAUUAUUGUGGCUGUCGCUUUCAAGUUAUGAUUCAGAACUGAAAAGUCAGGUUCCUUUUGAAAAUCAGUGAAACUACAUGCUCUAGCAUAAAGCAAACAGUGAAGAAGACAAAUUCAAAAUUGGAAUUCAAAAUUCCAACACUCAGUAAGACAUACGCCAGAAAUUAGUCAUAUUUGUGUUAAUGCUAAAUAAAUAAUAGUACUCUGGUAUUGAAUUAAGAUUGUACUUUAUAGGGUAUUUUUUCUCUUACAAACAGGGGGCACUCUUAACUGGCCAAUUUAUGUUCUAAAAAAACCCCAAUGACUAAUGCUUAGGUUGUAUUUACACAGCACUUUUGACUCAACUCUUUCAUUCAAAACAGAUUUGUGUUGGCCCCGUCCACAACAUUAGCUACGAGGUCUCUCUGCUGCCGAAUGUAACUGACAUCUCCAAACUCCACCAUGACCAAAAAUAAAUCAAGACAAACCUACAACCACCACCAUGGAAACAGACAACCAAUGAGCUGAAGAGAUGAGCAAAAUUCAACUGCUCCAAAAUGAUAGUGGAUCAUCUACUGGGCACCGACCACAUGCCAGGCAUAACCGUGGGAUCCAGGCAGACAAUAGGGAACUGUAAAAUGCCCUGUCUUCAGAGAAGACAAAUGCCAGGAGAUGGGAAGAGCUAAGAUGGAGGAUGAUCAGGUGAGUGUGGAGAGGUUACAGCCCCAGCGUGUGGUCUCCUGGAAUGGCCAGGAAGGCCUCUCUGAUGAAGUUUAAGCUGAGACCUGAAAGGAGUGAGGAGCUACAGGAGUGGCUGGGGAAGGAGUGUCCAGGCCUUCAGCAGGACUGAGGUUGGCUUGUAUGUGUAUAAAUAUAUACAUAAGUGUGUGUGUGUAUAAGUCAAUAUAGAUAUAUAAGUUG
rnacentral:lncRNA from 1 species